CAGUGUGUCUUUUAUUCUAGGUCAGAGAAAAGGCAGACAUCCUUAAUCCCCUAAUCACUGCAGUAUUUCUAGAGGCCUCAAACAGUGCUUCCUAUAUUCAGGAUGCCUUUCAGCUGCUCUUACCUGUGCUGGAGAUCUCUCUCAUUGAGAAUAAAACUGAAUUGCCAGAGGCAUGAGCUGCAGGCCCAGGGCCUUCGUUAGAACAUUGAAGAACAAAGAAGAUUCAACCCAAAACUUGUGACAGCCAAGAAAUGCACUCUCUUUUGGGUACGCCUGAAGAAGUGAAGGAGAAAGGAUUAUUUUAGUAUAUAAAAUUUAGGCAGGAGAGCAGGUUUAAAUGAGGUUUGUUGCAUUCGCUGCUUGGCUGAAUUAUUCAGGUCUUCACAUUGCCCUUCCAAGUUGUUAGAAUUAUUAAAUUAUUUGAGAAGAAACUUUUAUAGAAAGUUCAAGAAUAAUAGCUCUAGAUAAAGGUUAAUGGGAUACUCAGGCAAAAAUAUUGGUCUUUCUUGGACAUGAUGCAAAACACUGUUUUGUUAUGGUUCCAUAUGAUUUUGUAGCCCACUGAUAUAAUUGGUUGUGGGGGAAGCAAGAGAGAAACAACUUAAUUUAGUAUUCUAGAAUUCCUGUGCUUGAUCUAUUGAUGCCAUGACCUUUCUCCUUUCUGUAAUAAAAUCUGUGGCUUUAAGGAAACAGUAUGUAGAAACUGUAAUGAUUACCUAAAUUCUUUGGACUUGGUUAGAAAGUUUCAUGUGCAAGUCUUUCAUUCUCAGUGAAUAUUUGGCAUGGAGGAGGAACAUCUGAAAUGUACUUGAAGCCACAUGAAUUAACUACAGCAAAGUGCCCUUUGGCUUCAAAUUGUUCUCCUACCCUAAGGUGACAAGUUUCAAGUUGUAGUUGAACCCCACUCAACUGGGUUCCAGACCAACAAGUGCAACUUAGAGAAACAGUUUCAUGUUGGCAGGUAUCCGAGUCUCUCCAGGAUGUUUUUCAUGCAUACCUUAGGUGCAGGAUAAAUUCUGUAAUAGCCAGCUCCAAAGGAGUAUUGGAGCUCUUUUAGUGAUGGGGUUUUUGUUAUUUGAAUAUUGUUGAAGGGGAUUAUAGUCCCAUAGAAAUCAUUUAUAACAGGAUUUAACCUGAAAGACACAAUAUGUUUUUCCUUAUUCUUUUUUGUUUUGUUUUAAUGUAUUCCUUAGCAUGUUUAUAAAUACAACUUUUAUCCUUUAAAUCUUAAGCCUUCUUUUGCUCUCUUCAACAAUGUAAGAGGCUAAUAAGGUGUUAUCUUCCGAAAAGUUGUUUGGUAUCCACUCUUUUUAAAAAAAUUCUCCAACUUUGUGGUUGGAGGUAACUUUGUGAGCUCUACCAUUCAUCUUCUAAAACCUUUAAAUAAAAUGUAAUAAUUAUA